rnacentral:rRNA from 1 species
GGAUUAGAUACCCUGGUAGUCCACGCCGUAAACGAUCAUCACUCGCUGUUGGCGAUAUACUGUCAGCGGCCAAGCGAAAGUAUUAAGUGAUGCACCUGGGGAGUACGCCGGCAACGGUGAAACUCAAAGGAAUUGACGGGGGCCCGCACAAGCGGUGGAGCAUGUGGUUUAAUUCGAUGAUACGCGAGGAACCUUACCAGGGCUUAAAUGUAGAGUGACAGGUCUAGAGAUAGAUUUUUCUUCGGACACUUUACAAGGUGCUGCAUGGUUGUCGUCAGCUCGUGCUG